AACGAACGCUGGCGGCAUGCCUAACACAUGCAAGUCGAACGAGACCUUCGGGUCUAGUGGCGCACGGGUGCGUAACGCGUGGGAACCUGCCCUUAGGUUCGGAAUAACUCCCCGAAAGGGGUGCUAAUACCGGAUAAUGUCUUCGGACCAAAGAUUUAUCGCCUUGGGAUGGGCCCGCGUUGGAUUAGCUAGUUGGUAGGGUAAAAGCCUACCAAGGCGACGAUCCAUAGCUGGUCUGAGAGGAUGAUCAGCCACACUGGGACUGAGACACGGCCCAGACUCCUACGGGAGGCAGGAGUGGGGAAUAUUGGAAAAUGGGCGAAAGGCUGAACCAGCAAUGACGGGUGAGUGAUGAAGGCCUUAGGGUUGUAAAGCUCUUUUACCCGGGAUGAUAAUGACAGUACCGGGAGAAUAAGCUCCGGCUAACUCCGUG
rnacentral:rRNA from 1 species